rnacentral:rRNA from 1 species
AUGGCAAGUCGGGACUGAAAGCCCGGGGCCCAACCCCGGGACUGCUCCCCCAACUGCCAUGCUAGAGAGCANNNCCACACCCCACCAUUCCUAGUGUAGCGGUGAAAGGGGGGGAUUUUUGGGAAAGCUCCUGUGGCGCGGGCGGCUUCCUGGCCCGUGNCUGNCGUUGCCGCUCGNNAGCGGGGGGGGCCUUUUAAGUAGAACCCCAAAAAAACCACAAAANAAGGAGCCUUAUGAGGUGUCGGGGGGGCAAAGCCCAUCGGUGCCGCCGCAAACGCAAUAAGUAUCCCACCUGGGGAGUACGUUCGCAAGAAUGAAACUCAAAGGAAUUGACGGGGACCCGCACAAGCGGUGGAGCAUGUGGUUUAAUCCGAAGCAACGCGAAGAACCUUACCAAGUCUUGACAUCCCCCUGAUCGGUCCGUAACGGGGCCUUUCUUACGGGACAGGGGAGACAGGUGGUGCAUGGUUGUCGUCAGCUCGUGUCGUGAGAUGUUGGGUUAAGUCCCGCAACGAGCGCAACCCUUAUCCUCAGUAGCCAGCAGGUAGAGCUGGGCACUCUGUGGAGACUGCCAGGGGCAACCUGGAGGAAGGUGGGGAUGACGUCAAAUCAUCAUGCCCCUUAUGAUUUGGGCUACACACGUGCUACAAUGGCGUAGACAGAGGGAAGCGAGAGGGAGACCUGGAGCGAACCCCAAAAAAGACGUCCCAGUUCGGACUGUGGUCUGCAACCCGACCACACGAAGCUGGAAUCGCUAGUAAUCG